GUGUGCUUGGAAUGUGUGCUAAUUGUUGAAACCAUGUUGAAUCUUGUUGUUGAACUUGGUUAUGUUGAUAUUAUGGACGAACUGGGUUAUAUUGAAUGUGCAUGUUUAAUACUGUUGGACAAACUUAUUGAACUUAUUUUGCACUAUGAGAACUGUAACAUGUUAGUAUGGAUGAUUGAUACAAACAUGUUGGUUGGGAACACUAGAUUAUUCUAUAUGAUUGGUUUGGAUCGAUUGGUUGUUGUUCCCUUUCUAUCUUUUCACUACUUUAUGAGGGCGGAGGACCUUGUUUAGUAAGUUGAAACUUUAUGCCCAUAUACAGGGUUGCUCAUGGUUAAAGGAAAGGUUGGAUAAAUUGGAAUGAGUCUUGAUUGAUGCUUUUAUGAUCACUUACUUAAUUCCAAGAUAAAAACAGUUGUGAACAAAUGUGAAUUGUAUGUCUUAUGUAAUGGUUGAGUCAUAACGGAAUCUCAAUUUGUAAAUCAUGUAAAGUGAAACCGAAUAGCAAUAGCUUUAGACUGUGCACGUCUGAAGUGACGGACAAACAGGAGUUGGGGUUCAUGGUGGUAGCCCAUGGCCUUUUCUGGGACCGGAUUGAUCACCGUGUUCUAUUUUUAUUCAAACGUUCCUCGAUAUCGCAGGUCACUGAGGUUACGGAGUCGCGCCCGUACCUCGUCUUCCUUGGGGAAGACUUUUGGUUGGACAACUCGGUCCAUUGUCUAUUUCAACUAAAAUAAUAUCAUUGUCAUUAAGUCUAGCUUAGCCUAGUCGAGUAUGGUCGUCAAAUUAUUAUGUUUUGUCUGUCCUUACUUAUAUUUAUUAGUAUCAUGUUAGGGUUGUUGGUUUGAUAGUAUCAUGCUAGGAUUGUUGUUGUUUUAGUACGUACAUACCUGUGUGCUUGGAAUGUGUGCUAAUUGUUGAAACCAUGUUGAAUCUUGUUGUUGAACUUGGUUAUGUUGAUAUUAUGGACGAACUGGGUUAUAUUGAAUGUGCAUGUUUAAUACUGUUGGACAAACUUAUUGAACUUAUUUUGCACUAUGAGAACUGUAACAUGUUAGUAUGGAUGAUUGAUACAAACAUGUUGGUUGGGAACACUAGAUUAUUCUAUAUGAUUGGUUUGGAUCGAUUGGUUGUUGUUCCCUUUCUAUCUUUUCACUACUUUAUGAGGGCGGAGGACCUUGUUUAGUAAGUUGAAACUUUAUGCCCAUAUACAGGGUUGCUCAUGGUUAAAGGAAAGGUUGGAUAAAUUGGAAUGAGUCUUGAUUGAUGCUUUUAUGAUCACUUACUUAAUUCCAAGAUAAAAACAGUUGUGAACAAAUGUGAAUUGUAUGUCUUAUGUAAUGGUUGAGUCAUAACGGAAUCUCAAUUUGUAAAUCAUGUAAAGUGAAACCGAAUAGCAAUAGCUUUAGACUGUGCACGUCUGAAGUGACGGACAAACAGGAGUUGGGGUUCAUGGUGGUAGCCCAUGGCCUUUUCUGGGACCGGAUUGAUCACCGUGUUCUAUUUUUAUUCAAACGUUCCUCGAUAUCGCAGGUCACUGAGGUUACGGAGUCGCGCCCGUACCUCGUCUUCCUUGGGGAAGACUUUUGGUUGGACAACUCGGUCCAUUGUCUAUUUCAACUAAAAUAAUAUCAUUGUCAUUAAGUCUAGCUUAGCCUAGUCGAGUAUGGUCGUCAAAUUAUUAUGUUUUGUCUGUCCUUACUUAUAUUUAUUAGUAUCAUGUUAGGGUUGUUGGUUUGAUAGUAUCAUGCUAGGAUUGUUGUUGUUUUAGUACGUACAUACCUGUGUGCUUGGAAUGUGUGCUAAUUGUUGAAACCAUGUUGAAUCUUGUUGUUGAACUUGGUUAUGUUGAUAUUAUGGACGAACUGGGUUAUAUUGAAUGUGCAUGUUUAAUACUGUUGGACAAACUUAUUGAACUUAUUUUGCACUAUGAGAACUGUAACAUGUUAGUAUGGAUGAUUGAUACAAACAUGUUGGUUGGGAACACUAGAUUAUUCUAUAUGAUUGGUUUGGAUCGAUUGGUUGUUGUUCCCUUUCUAUCUUUUCACUACUUUAUGAGGGCGGAGGACCUUGUUUAGUAAGUUGAAACUUUAUGCCCAUAUACAGGGUUGCUCAUGGUUAAAGGAAAGGUUGGAUAAAUUGGAAUGAGUCUUGAUUGAUGCUUUUAUGAUCACUUACUUAAUUCCAAGAUAAAAACAGUUGUGAACAAAUGUGAAUUGUAUGUCUUAUGUAAUGGUUGAGUCAUAACGGAAUCUCAAUUUGUAAAUCAUGUAAAGUGAAACCGAAUAGCAAUAGCUUUAGACUGUGCACGUCUGAAGUGACGGACAAACAGGAGUUGGGGUUCAUGGUGGUAGCCCAUGGCCUUUUCUGGGACCGGAUUGAUCACCGUGUUCUAUUUUUAUUCAAACGUUCCUCGAUAUCGCAGGUCACUGAGGUUACGGAGUCGCGCCCGUACCUCGUCUUCCUUGGGGAAGACUUUUGGUUGGACAACUCGGUCCAUUGUCUAUUUCAACUAAAAUAAUAUCAUUGUCAUUAAGUCUAGCUUAGCCUAGUCGAGUAUGGUCGUCAAAUUAUUAUGUUUUGUCUGUCCUUACUUAUAUUUAUUAGUAUCAUGUUAGGGUUGUUGGUUUGAUAGUAUCAUGCUAGGAUUGUUGUUGUUUUAGUAUGUAGUACUCAGCUUUGCUGAUUACGUGCUUUGUUUGUGUGUGUUGAU